GAUGAACGCUGGCGGCGUGCCUAACACAUGCAAGUCGAACGGAGUCGUUUUGGAAAUCUCUUCGGAGAUGGAAUUCUCGACUUAGUGGCGGACGGGUGAGUAACGCGUGAGCAAUCUGCCUUUAAGAGGGGGAUAACAGUCGGAAACGGCUGCUAAUACCGCAUAAAGCAUUAAAUUCGCAUGUUUUUGAUGCCAAAGGAGCAAUCCGCUUUUAGAUGAGCUCGCGUCUGAUUAGCUAGUUGGCGGGGUAACGGCCCACCAAGGCGACGAUCAGUAGCCGGACUGAGAGGUUGAACGGCCACAUUGGGACUGAGACACGGCUCAGACUCAUACGGGAGGCAGCAGUGGGGAAUAUUGCGCAAUGGGGGAAACCCUGACGCAGCAACGCCGCGUGAUUGAAGAAGGCCUUCGGGUUGUAAAGAUCUUUAAUCAGAGACGAAACAAAUGACGGUACCUGAAGAAUAAGCUCCGGCUAACUACGUG
rnacentral:rRNA from 1 species